AUACAGAGGGUGCGAGCGUUAAUCGGAAUUACUGGGCGUAAAGCGCGCGUAGGCGGCUGAUUAAGUCAGAUGUGAAAUCCCAGGGCUCAACCUUGGAACUGCAUCUGAUACUGGUCAGCUAGAGUUUAGGAGAGGGAAGUAGAAUUUCAGGUGUAGCGGUGGAAUGCAUAGAUAUCUGAAGGAAUACCAGUGGCGAAGGCGGCUUCCUGGCCUAAAACUGACGCUGAGGUGCGAAAGCGUGGGUAGCAAACGGGAUUAGAAACCCCAGUAGUCC
rnacentral:rRNA from 1 species